AUUGAACGCUGGCGGCAGGCCUAACACAUGCAAGUCGAGCGGAUGAGAGGAGCUUGCUCCUUGAUUUAGCGGCGGACGGGUGAGUAAUGCCUAGGAAUCUGCCUGGUAGUGGGGGAUAACGUCCGGAAACGGGCGCUAAUACCGCAUACGUCCUACGGGAGAAAGCAGGGGACCUUCGGGCCUUGCGCUAUCAGAUGAGCCUGGGUCGGAUUAGCUAGUUGGUGAGGUAAUGGCUCACCAAGGCGACGAUCCGUAACUGGUCUGAGAGGAUGAUCAGUCACGCUGGAACUGGGACAAGGUCCAGACUCCUACGGGAGGCAGCAGUGGGGAAUAUUGGACAAUGGGCGAAAGCCUGAUCCAGCCAUGCCGCGUGUGUGAAGAAGGUCUUCGGAUUGUAAAGCACUUUAAGUUGGGAGGAAGGGCAUUAACCUAAUACGUUAGUGUUUUGACGUUACCGACAGAAUAAGCACCGGCUAACUUCGUGCCAGCCGCCGCGGUAACAC
rnacentral:rRNA from 1 species